CUGGACCUUCUCUAGUGCUGCUAUGUCCUUUUUAUAGCCUGGAGACCCAAACUGUACCCAGGACUCCAGAUAAGGCCUCACCAGUGUGUUAUAAAGACUGAGCAGAACCUCCUGUGACUUGUACUGCACACAUCAAGGCGCUAUAUAACCUGACAGUCUGUUAGCCUUCUUAAUGACUUCUGAACACUGUCUGGAAGUCGAUAUCUUAGAGUCCACUACGACUCCUAAAUCCUUCUCAUAAGGUGGACUCUCGAUUUUCAGACCCCCAUUGUGUAUUCAGACCUCACAUUUUUCCUUCCUAUGUGUAAUUCUUUACAUUUACUGACAUUAAAUUUCAUCUGCCACCAAUCUGCCCAA